rnacentral:rRNA from 1 species
CCUACGGGUGGCAGCAGUGAGGAAUAUUGGUCAAUGGGCGAGAGCCUGAACCAGCCAAGUCGCGUGAAGGAUGACGGCCCUACGGGUUGUAAACUUCUUUUGUCAGGGAGCAAUUGGGUCCACGCGUGGGCUUAGCGAGAGUACCUGAAGAAAAAGCAUCGGCUAACUCCGUGCCAGCAGCCGCGGUAAUACGGAGGAUGCGAGCGUUAUCCGGAUUUAUGGGGUUUAAAGGGUGCGUAGGCGGAAUAUCAAGUCAGCGGUAAAAAUUCGGGGCUCAACCCCGUCGAGCCGUUGAAAAGGGCAGACUUGAGUUGGCGAGAAGUACGCGGAAUGCGCGGUGUAGCGGUGAAAUGCAUAGAUAUCGCGCAGAACUCCGAUUGCGAAGGCAGCGUACCGGCGCCAGACUGACGCUGAGGCACGAAAGCGUGGGGAUCGAACAGGAUUAGAUACCCGGGUAGUC